AUUGAACGCUGGCGGCAUGCCUUACACAUGCAAGUCGAACGGUAACGGGCCUUCGGGUGUCGACGAGUGGCGAACGGGUGGAACAUAUAUGUAAAAGUGCCCGAACGUGGGGGCUAACGAGGCGAAACCUUUUCUAAUACUGCAUACGAUGUACGAUUGAAAGCAGGGGGCCGCAUGGCCUUGCGCGGAAGAUGCGGCCGAUGGCAGAUUAGGUAGUUGGUGGUAUGCAAGCUGACCAGGACGGCGCUCUGUAGCUGGUCUGCGAGGAUGGUGAGCGACAAUGGGAGUGAGACGCGGCCCAGACUACUACUGGAGGCAGCAGUGGGGAAUUUUGGAGAAUAGGCGGAAGCCUGAUGCUGCAGUGCCGCGGGGAGGAUGAAGGCCGUCGGGUUGUAGACUGCUUCUGUACGGAACGAAGCGCCUUCUUUUAAUACGGGAGUGGCUUGACGGUACCGGAAGAAUAAGCGCCGGCUAACUACGUG
rnacentral:rRNA from 1 species